rnacentral:lncRNA from 1 species
AAAAGAAAAUAACUGUCUGACAAAGUCUGCACUAAAAACAAAACUAAAAGUCUUGAAUCAAUUCUGAGAAAAAUCCUAAAUCAAUGAGUUAACUCCAUCUCUAAUAGCUCUCCCAACCGAAAUCCCGCAUCAUGCUAAUUUUCUGGAUCUGUAAGAAAAACAUAAAACUCAUCAUGAGCUAAACAGCCCAGUAAGCAGUGUAUACCUUUAACUGAAUAAAUCAGGCAAAUAAUACUAUGCAUAACAAAUCAAUAUGUAAUUUCAUUAAAUCAUAUUCAUACUGUCAAUCAUUUAUAAAAGUCAAAUCAUUAUAAUUUUCAAUUAUGNNNNNNNNNNNNNNNNNNNNGUGAGAGCUCACUAGGAUUGCUCAGAAUCGACAAUCCUUGAUGAGUUAGAGUGAAAUCAUUUCAAUCUAUUGAAAAGAGUUUCAAUGAUACUAUAAUAGAGAUUAUUAUAUAUCUCACAACCAGAUAUAAUUAAAUCUAUAGGGUCACAUAAUAAAGGGAUUGAUCUAGAAUAAGUAAUUGCACUUAUGAAGUCUUAAUUAGGUUUAAAAAAAUCUUAUUGAGUUUAGGUUAACCUUGCUAACACA